rnacentral:lncRNA from 1 species
UCCAUGGUGGAACUAGUUGUGUUUAACACCUGUGUUGGAAGAUGCUGAAGUGAGAAGGACAGGCUGCUUUGCUCAAAGACAGGGCUGCCACUGAGAGAUCUGGACAGUCUGGGGGACUGGCAGGAGCUUCCUUUCUCGAAGCUUGCUUUCUAACCUCAGAUCCCUAGAACGUAUUCAGAAACCUCCUGUGCAAUCUUCAACAUAUUCAGGCAUCCGUUUUAUAAAUCCAGAUGAUGUAACAUGCCAAGCCAAUUGUUCUGCUGCCUGACAACAGGAAUGUGGCUUAUCAUAGGUUUUUCGGUAAAACUGACGAUGAAGCGGUGAUUCAGUCUCUUGUCAGUGUUGACUUUGGGGGGAAACACACCAAUGAAGUUGCCCUGCGCGUGGAGGUACUACUGGCUUUAGUUUGUAGAGGAUAGAUGAUAGGAGUCAGCCAGUCAUUGUGAGCUCAUUGUAUUGAGCCUUCUAUAGACUUCUACCAAAAAUCACAGAAC